UAGGGAAUCUUCGGCAAUGGGGGGAACCCUGACCGAGCAACGCCGCGUGAGUGAAGAAGGUUUUCGGAUCGUAAAGCUCUGUUGUUAAGGAAGAACGAGUGUGAGAAUGGAAAGUUCAUACUGUGACGGUACUUAACCAGAAAGGGACGGCUAACUACGUGCCAGCAGCCGCGGUAAUACGUAGGUCCCGAGCGUUGUCCGGAUUUAUUGGGCGUAAAGCGAGCGCAGGCGGUUAGAUAAGUCUGAAGUUAAAGGCAGUGGCUCAACCAUUGUAGGCUUUGGAAACUGUUUAACUUGAGUGCAGAAGGGGAGAGUGGAAUUCCAUGUGUAGCGGUGAAAUGCGUAGAUAUAUGGAGGAACACCGGUGGCGAAAGCGGCUCUCUGGUCUGUAACUGACGCGGAGGCUCGAAAGCGUAGGGAGCGAACAGG
rnacentral:rRNA from 1 species